UUAGGGGUGUUGUUUCAGAAUCACGAAUGAUAACAUUAUUAAUUAGUCUUGAACUUGGUAUGAAGUAUUACUUAGAGGCAUAUACUCCAGUAAGUGAAAGUCUUAGCUAGCACUGAAAUCCUAUAAAAAUGGAGACUUCUAAGUGUGCCAAAUUUUUGGAACUGACAGAUGAAACAUCUUUGUCACCUCAGUGACAUUUAGAAUUAAAUAAAGCAGACAUGCCAAGUUAGACGGUAAUUAGCUAUGGUGCAUCUCCUCUAGAGCGAGGUUGUUGUCUUUGGUAAACGGUAAACAGCGUGGUGCAUGCAUCUUCUG